AUUGAACGCUGGCGGCAGGCCUAACACAUGCAAGUCGAACGAGUGGCGGACGGGUGAGUAAUGUCUGGGAAACUGACCGAAGGAGGGGGAUAACUACUGGAAACGGUAGCUAAUACCGCAUACCAUCGGAUGUGCCCAGAUGGGAUUAGCGAGUAGGUGGGGUAACGGCUCACCUAGGAGACGAUCCCUAGCUGGUCUGAGAGGAUGACCAGCCACAAGGACACCGUGCAACGGUUCAGACGCCUAUGGUGGGCAGCAGGGGGGCAUAUGGCACAACGGGCGCAAGCCUGCUGAAGCCGUGCCGGGUGUAUGAAGGAGGCCUUAGGGUUGUAAAGUACGUACAGCGAUGAGACGUGACUCGCAGAAGAAGCACCGGCUAACUCUGUGCCGGCAGACGCGGUAAUAC
rnacentral:rRNA from 1 species